GAUGAACGCUGGCGGCGUGCCUAAUACAUGCAAGUAGAACGCUGAAGGAGGAGCUUGCUCUUCUGGAUGAGUUGCGAACGGGUGAGUAACGCGUAGGUAACCUGCCUGGUAGCGGGGGAUAACUAUUGGAAACGAUAGCUAAUACCGCAUGACAACAGUUAUUGCAUGAUAACUGUUUAAAAGGGGCAACUGCUCCACUACCAGAUGGACCUGCGUUGUAUUAGCUAGUUGGUGAGGUAACGGCUCACCAAGGCGACGAUACAUAGCCGACCUGCGAGGGGGAUCGGCCACACUGGGACUGAGACACGGCCCAGACUCCUACGGGAGGCAGCAGUAGGGAAUCUUCGGCAAUGGACGGAAGUCUGACCGAGCAACGCCGCGUGAGUGAAGAAGGGUUUCGGAUCGUAAAGAUCUGUUGUAAGAGAAGAACGAGUGUGAGAGUGGAAAGUUCACACUGUGACGGUAGCUUAACAGAAAGGGACGGCUAACUACGUG
rnacentral:rRNA from 1 species